GGGACGGAACCGGCAGGGCGGCCCCGGGCCGGGCGGCACCGAGCGGGACACGGGAGCGCAGCGGAGCGGAGCGACGAGACGGCGGGGGCUGUCAACGCUGCCCGGCGGCGAUACGGCGCUGAAACUGAGCCUCAACUUGCCGCAGGAAGGAUGGCAACACCGGCGGAGCUUCGGAGCUGCCCAAGGAGCCGGGGAGCCUCGGUUUUGUGCGCCGCGGUCUAAUACGUGGGAGUAAAAUGGAAUUUCUCACCUGGGUUUUUCCUGCCUUGGUCCUGCUGUGCACCCAGCAGCACAGGUGCAUCAGAGCUAUGACUGACAUUGGAGAUUACAUAGGCUCCAACAUCGAAAUAUCCUGGUUACCCAACCUGGAUGAUCUGAUGAAAGGCUACGCACGUAAUUUCAGGCCUGGGAUUGGAGGUCCUCCUGUUAACGUUGCUCUUGCAAUUGAAGUAGCCAGCAUUGACCACAUCUCAGAAGUGAACAUGGAAUACACCAUGACAGUAUUUCUGCACCAGAGCUGGCGGGACGACCGCCUGUCCUACAACCACACCAAUGAGACCCUGGGGCUGGACAGCCGCUUUGUGGACAAGCUGUGGUUGCCAGAUACUUUCAUAGUGAACGCCAAGUCUGCCUGGUUCCAUGACGUGACUGUGGAAAACAAACUGAUCAGGCUCCAGCCAGAUGGAGUCAUCUUAUACAGCAUAAGGAUUACCUCAACAGUGGCAUGUGACAUGGACCUCUCCAAGUACCCGAUGGAUGAGCAGGAAUGCAUGUUGGACUUGGAGAGCUAUGGUUACUCUUCAGAGGACAUCGUCUACCACUGGUCAGAAAACCAGGAUGAGAUCCAUGGGCUGGAUAAGCUGCAGCUUGCUCAAUUCACAAUUACUAACUACCAGUUUACAACAGAACUGAUGAACUUCAAAUCUGCAGGGCAGUUUCCCAGGCUGAGUCUCCACUUCCACCUCCGACGAAAUCGAGGUGUUUACAUCAUUCAGUCCUACGUCCCUUCUAUCUUGCUCGUGGCCAUGUCCUGGGUGUCCUUCUGGAUCAGCCAGUCAGCUGUGCCUGCCAGGGUGUCCUUAGGCAUAACCACUGUUCUUACAAUGACUACACUGAUGGUCAGUGCCCGCUCUUCGCUUCCACGAGCAUCUGCCAUCAAGGCACUUGAUGUUUACUUCUGGAUAUGCUACGUGUUUGUCUUCGCUGCACUGGUAGAAUACGCUUUUGCACAUUUCAAUGCUGACUACAUGAAAAAGCAGAAGAACAAGAUCAAAGCGAGAAGGCAGAGUGGAGAGAUAAACGUGAAGAAUGCCAUUGUUCUGUUCUCCCUCUCCAUCGCUGGUGUGAACCAGGAGCUGGCCAUUUCCAACAGGCACCACCGAAUGCCCAGAAGUCUGCCUGGAUCAUAUGGCACAAUAGAAAUAGAGACUGGAGAGACUAAACGGCAGCAAGAGAUGAAACUGGAUAAAAAGAGUGGUCUGAAAUCCCUCUUUAAGCCCAUUGAUGCUGACACCAUCGAUAUAUAUGCCAGAGCAGUGUUCCCAGCAGCCUUUGCAGCAGUCAAUGUUAUAUACUGGGUUGCCUACACUAUGUAAAAAGCCCAGAACUUUGUGAAGAGCCAAGAAUUGAACAGUACCUACACACUAAACAGUCCUUGCUGAAACUGUACUGUGCCAUCUCUUCUCAAAAUAUUUUCCAGUGACCUUGAGGCAUUUCUAGUCAAGAAACUCCUGCAAUCAAUUCCUACUAAAGCAGCAAGAAAAACAGUUUGUUACCAAUCUGAUUUGAUACAUUAAGGACUGUACUCUGCUCAACAAUCCCAGCUCCUUUUGUUUCCUCUCUUACCAUGAGAAAACAUUUCAUAUGUACAUAACAGCAGAAGUUUAAGUCUUGAACUACCAUGUUCUUUCUCCACCUGAAGCAUUGGUUGUUCCAAACCUAGAGAAAGAAGAUGCAACAGAAAAUAUUACAUGAGAGAAGGAGGGAAUGAGUGAGGCUAAGGAGAUGGCUGAAAGCUGUGGAAGGGAGCAUGGGGAGGUGCAAGAUGAAAUAGGACACAAGAUGUAAAUGAGAGAAGAGCAGUGCUGGGCUUGGAAGAUGGGCAUGGCUGAUGGAAUUGCAAGGAGGAGGAAACAAGCAUUGGCUCACGUAUCCCUCCCACCUUACCUAUCUGUGACACACGGCUCAAUUUCAUAUGACCAGAACUGAAAGAGCAUUUUAAGGCAAAUUUAUGACUUCAAAAGAGAUUUGCUCAAUAUCAGCUAAGUAAGAGAAUGCACUGAAGAAAAAUUAAUGAUCCUGAAGUGAGCUAUGAUAUGAACUAUGAUCCCAUCGUAAGUCAGGCUGAGGAUCACGUGGAUUAUUUCUGUUCUACUGGAAACAUUUUCAGCCAUGUGCUGGAAGGUGCAAACCAUCACCCAGCUAUGUUUUUUCCAGAAAGUUCUCAUCAGUCUGGCCCUGGACUGAGACACCUGGAUUUUGCACUAAGUUCUUGCCACUGAUGUGAGGAUGAACCUUCCUGGAGUCAUUUCAUUGCAUCAUCUGCAAGACGGGUAUAAUUAUACUGAUUUCUUUACUAAGCCUUUGAGAUCUACAGAAGCAAAAUCCUUUUGAGAGACACAGAAACUGUCAGGCUCCAACUAGAUACGUGCACUCAAAGUGUACAGCAGCUGGUUAUUCAGGGUAAUUAGUGAGAAAGUGGCUGCAUACAUUCUAAAGGCAAUGUCUAAUCUAAUUACUUCAGCAGUAAGAGUCUGCAGUUGUGCACCUGACACAAGUCCUUACCCUGAAGUCAACUGAGGUGAUCACAGAGGGUUAUUGGACAAAAUUAGCUGCUUCUCCACCUGGGUGCCAGUCACUGGCUGCACACCCUGCUGGCUUCUUCAUAAGGUUUAUUCAAUGCAUUGUUCUGUAUUUGUUUGCAGACCUUCAAGCUGCACAGCUAUUUGUGACUGAUCAAGGUAAAGGGUGGCUACGGUCUUUCCCUCAAAAAAACCCACAAACCUAACAACAAAAACCACCAAAACCACCACCCAGGACAAAACAAAACAAAGAACACCAAAACCAAAACCAGAAUGCUAGGCUGUCACAUAAAAAAGCAUAAAAAAAAAGGAGGGGGAAACCUCAGGAUAUUUCAGGAAGUCAGAAUGUGAGAAUACAUGUGGCAGCUGUGUCCACUCCAGGAAUGAGGUGACUCAGAGGGGAGAACAGGCGUCCCUGCUGCUGCAGUUGCAGAGCAGCACAAGGCAGAACAACUCCAUUGUGAAGUUACAGUUUUUGAAAUGUGUUUCCACAGCCAGAAAUAAAACAGAUGCCUUCCAGAUUCUUUUACAGGAGGGAUGUUAGUACAGGAGUACUGUGUCAUUAUUGGAAUUUUGAAUAAAACUGAAGCUUCUGUACAUUUGAGAUUGUUCCACAUUUUUGAUUUUUUUUUUCACAUUUGAAAACCAUUAUAUAUUAUUAAUAUCUGAGGACAAUGCCCUAAUCAACUCUAUUUUUAUGGCACACUUAAUAAACAGAAAUAAAUAAGCUAAAUCUGAUGUCACUGGAAAGCUAGCAAGCUUUGGAUGGGUUGUGCUAAUAUCAGGAAGGAAAUACAUAUAUAAUAUAUAUAUGAGGGCUGUACCUGGAAGAAUUUGUAUUCCUUUCAUCAAAGUAGAGUACUGCUCUAAAAUCCUGGUGUGUCUGUGAGAAGGAAAGAGGGAUACGUAUUAAUGUAAUCAUUCUCAAUGUGAAGUGUGAAUAAAGCAUAGUUUGUACAGAAGUUGUAGCUCCCAUAAAAUGGACAAAGCAGACAUUCCAGCUACUGAACCGAAAGAUAAAAGACAUUACAAGGAAAAUCAAAAUAACCUCAGGGAUUUCAUCCCAUAAUGAAGUCUUGCCUUUUCAGCACCCAGAGGCUCAUAAAACUCUCAUUUGGCCUCGACAACAGAAGAGAAAGGACCAUUCUGUACUCAUGAGUGCUUUCUGUGGGGCUCUUCUGCAGACUACUGAAUUUAUAUUAAAAAAUAGCUGUUGCUACCUAAAGAGGUUGAAAAGAAACAAGGCACAAGAAGAACAAGGCGUUGCACCAUUAGUUUGAAAGACAUGCUUGCAGUGACAGCACUGUUAAAAGGUUAAUAUACAGAUAAGCCUGUCCUGUUUCUGGGCAAGAAGGAAGCAUUUAUUCAAGGUAAAGUAAAAGCUCUCACAUCAGUUCUUAACAGGGUUCCUAAUCCAACAGAUAAUGUAGCGAAACCAAUUUAACUCAAUGAGGCUUCUGCUGUUGGUACAACAAAGCACUUAAUAUGAACACUCUCAUUUUAAAUAUUCAGUCAUUAACCUAAGAAAGCACUUCACAUUAAGAGGAAAACAGCACCCCGUGCGGAUCUGCCUGUGCAGCAGAACAGAUAACAAAUGAUUAAUGAAAGUUUCGUAGGAUAUUUAUUAAAAUAAAAACCUCGGUCUCCCCUGCGCUCUCUUGGUUGUAAGGCUUAAAACACUUGCAAAGGUUGUUUGAUGAUACAGUAACACUGUGUGCAACGUGUUACAAGCACACCUAGCUAGCUCUUCCUAAUAAGACUGAACAAUUCUGGCAAUGGAUGUGUAUCUAUUUGGAAAAAUUUGGCAGCUGAAAUGCAAGCCACUGCCUCUUUCUGCUGUUGUAGCUUGUGUCUUAAAUGAAAAGACUUUGAAGACCUAAGCUCAUGGUUACAUAAUGCAUUAAGGAUCUGUCCUCUCCUUAUACAAGCUUUAUGUCAUGGCUAUUCCUUUUACUAAGUCAUGCACAGUUAAAAACAAAUCCGAGCAGACAGCAAAGUGCGCUCUGUCAGAAAACACAGCACCAACAGAGCUGAUCAGAUGUUACUGGAGUUCCCUGUUCAGCAAAACGGUGGUCCAAAAAAAGAGCUCCAAACGUUCCUGAUCUCUCAGGUAUCUAAAAACUUCUGGUCGCUGCAGAUGUAGGACCAACCAACGCACAGCAGUGACUAAUGCUAUUGAAGCAAAGACUUCUCUGCCCACAGGUCCAGCCUCCAUCUUUUGGUAUAAAGCCUGUCAUGGAUCUCCUACAUACCUUCACCUUUUCCUGAGAUGAAAAGAGUACUGGAAUUACCUUUGCUAGCAUAAAUAUCAUGAAGUCCUCAAUUUUCAUGCACCGGGUAACCAGAUGGGGUGAAGAGGACAUUUUUCUUUACAAUAUAAUGAAUAAUUGGCCAGCUGGGAACAGACAUGGCUGGAAGCUGCACACAAACACAUAGUCCACUGGGUUAUGCCAGAAUUAGAAUUACCACAGUCCUCUAAGAUUAAAUAAAGAUUGAACGAUGGAAUACAGAGUAAUCUGUAAAACAUCUGGCACAACACUCCAUCCAGGCUGUUCUUCCUUUGUCGCUGUUUCUUUCAGAGUGAGACAAACACACAAGAUCUAUUUCUGUACAUCCUACCAUAGUUUUUAGAUACCUACGUAGGAUUUCCCAGCCCUUAUCUUUCCAGGUUAUAUGUACAACUAAUAUAUAUACACAUACAUGAGCUUGAAUAUUUGGAAGCCAGAAGGAUUCUUCAUAUAUUUUGUACACGAUAUCACAUAUCAUACUUUUAAAGUGAACUUCUCCUUUACAAAGAACAAACAUUUAACAAGUCUGCUACAAGUACGUUUAGAUUGCCUCCAGUGGUGUUUCUGGGCACUCUCAGUGAGGGAUUCAUCAGACACUUUCAGGAUGUGGAAUACACCGCAUUAAGAGCGAUCGCCUUUCAUUCCAACUGAAUGGUGGCUGGACCAACAAUGAGAAUUCAGAAAAGCUUAAUUAGUCUGGCCCAAGAAAAGCAAAACAAAAUAAGACUCUAGAAGAACCAAGGUGAAAAUUUGAUCCCCAGGGUUUGUUUUUUUGAUUUAAAUUUUUUUUUAUCAUUUUCUUCCAUGCUCUGAAUCAACAGUUCCAAGUCUUCAGUGGCAGAAACACUCAUUUCCUUUCUUCUACACUUUCACUGUCACCUUCCAGAAGGGGAAUUUGUUUCUGAAGGAUUAGGAUCAGGGUAUGCAGUGAGAAAAAAGAUUUACAGUACACUGUCUGCUGGUGUUCACACGCAAAAGGGAGACAGGUUAAAAAUAUGUUUCCACAGAGACGGGCUGUCGAAAUAUCUUGGAAAAAUAAAUAUAGAAGCAUACAGGUUUGGUUUAAUUUAUUUUAAAUGCAUGUAGCUUGGUCUACCCAUAGAAUCCUUCCUGAAACUCCAGGUCAAGAUAAGUGAGUUAGCUUCUGGGUGCUUCCAUUUUGCAUGAAAGAGACAAGUAAGGAGAUUGUCUUAAAGCAGCCUUGAAAAAUCAUUCAUUUUGUCUAUUUUAAGAGGCUAACCAACAAGUGAGAAAAUCAAUAAAGAACAACCACAGUGA